GACGGAGGAUGCAAGUGUUAUCCGGAAUCACUGGGCGUAAAGCGUCUGUAGGUGGUUUCAAAAGUCCACUGUUAAAGAUUGAAGCUUAACUUCAAAAAUGCCGUGGAAACUUUGAAACUUGAGUAUGAUAGGGGUAGAGGGAAUUUCCAGUGGAGCGGUGAAAUGCGUAGAUAUUGGAAAGACCACCAAUGGUGAAGGCACUCUACUGGGCCAUUACUGACACUGAGGCGCGACAGCGUGGGGAGCAAACAGG
rnacentral:rRNA from 1 species